rnacentral:rRNA from 1 species
CACGUAGGGUGCGAGCGUUGUCCGGAAUUAUUGGGCGUAAAGAGCUCGUAGGCGGUGUGUCGCGUCGGCCGUGAAAACCUGCAGCUUAACUGUGGGCCUGCGGCCGAUACGGGCAGACUUGAGUUCGGUAGGGGAGACUGGAAUUCCUGGUGUAGCGGUGAAAUGCGCAGAUAUCAGGAGGAACACCAAUGGCGAAGGCAGCUCGCUGGAACGGUACUGACGCUGAGGCGCGAAAGCGUGGGGAGCGAACAGG